UUGAUCAAGCUACAAAGAGCACAUGAUGGAUGCCUUGGUGCCAAUAGGCGAAGAAGGACGUGAUAAGCUGCGAUAAGGCACGGAUAGCGGCAAAUACGCUUUGACCCGUGCAUUUCCGAAUGGGGUAACCCAGCAGAGUUAACCCUCUGUUACUGCCGAGUGAAUACAUAGCUCGGCGAGAGCGAUACCCGGUGAAGUGAAACAUCUCAGUAACCGGAGGAAAAGAAAGCGAAUGCGAUUCCGUAAGUAGCGGCGAGCGAAAGCGGAACAGCCCAAACCCCCAGCUUGCUGUGGGUGUUGUAGGGCCCCGAUGUGGUAGUGCAACGAUUAGAUGAAGCGACUGGAAAAUCGCUCCAUAGAGGGUGAGAGGCCCGUAAUCGAAAAUCCGAGCACGCCUAGGGAGUCCCUGAGUAACGCGAUGCAAGUGAAGCUUCGCGUGAAUCCACGCCGACCACGGCGUAAGGCUAAAUACUAAUUGGCGACCGAUAGUGAACAAGUACCGCGAGGGAAAGGUGAAAAGAACCGCUUUGAGCGGAGUGAAAUAGUCCCUGAAAUCAUGUGCUUACAAGGUGUCAAAGCCCGCAAGGGUGAUGGCGUGCCUUUUGCUUAAUGAGUCUGCGAGUUAUUGUCAGUGGCAAGCCUAAGUCCUUAUGGGAUGGAGGCGAAGCGAAAGCGAGUCCGAAAUGGGCGUUCCAGUCGCUGGCAGUAGACCCGAAGCCGAGGUGAUCUACCCAUGGUCAGGAUGAAGCGCGGGUAAUACCGCGUGGAGGUCCGAACAGGUGAACAUUGAAAAGUCCUCUGAUGAACUGUGGGUAGGAGCGAAAGACUAAUCAAACCCGGUGAUAGCUGGUUCUCCCCGAAAUAGCUUGAGGGCUAGCCUCGGGUGUUUAUGCAUGGAGGUAGAGCACUGGAUGAACUAGAGCCCACACCAGGGUAUCGAAUUCAAUCAAACUCCGAAUGCCAUGCAACAUAACCCGGGAGUCAGUGCGCGAGGGAUAAGCUUCGUGCGCGAGAGGCAAACAUGCCAGACCAGCAGCUAAGGUGCCCAAAUACCGUUCAGUGGAAAGGAUGUGAAGAUACUUAGACAAUGAGGAUGUUGGCUUAGAGGCAGCCAUCAUUUAAACAGUGCGUAAUAGCUGACUCAUCGAGUGUUUUCGCGCCGAAAAUGAUUGGCGAUAAGCGGUAUACCGAAGCUCUGGAUUUUCAGCGGAUUCGUCCGCUGGGAGUGGUAGGGGAGCGUCGUUGGAGCGUAGAAGCAGGAGCGUAAGCAACUGUGGAGUCCCAACGAGUGAGAAUGCAGACAUGAGUAGCGAUAAGCCAGGUUAGACUCCUGGCCGCCGUAAACCCAAGGUUUCCUGUGCAAGGUUCGUCCUCACAGGGUUAGUCGGGACCUAAGGCGAGGCCGAAGGGCGUAGUCGAUGGACAGCUGGUUUAAUAUUCCAGCACCGGCUUUGGUUAAGGGCGAGAGUGACGUGGGCGCGGAGAAGAGCAGUCGAUUGAAAGUGACUGUUGCGCAAGCAGACGUUGAGGCCACGGCCAAGACGGAUUCUUUAAAGCGAACACCAAGAAAACCUCUCGUUUGUUCCCAAGGUCGCCCGUACCGUAAACCGACACAGGUGGGUGGGUAGAGUAUACCCAGGCGCGUGAGUGAAACCUCGUUAAGGAACUCGGCAAUCUAGCCCCGUAACUUCGGAAGAAGGGGUGCCGUCGCAAGACGGUCGCAGUGAAAUGGGUCAACCGACUGUUUAACAAAAACACAGCACUCUGCUAAGUCGCGAGACGACGUAUAGGGUGUGACACGUGACCAAUGCGGAAAGAUUACGGUAAGAGGUUAGCCGCAAGGCGAAGCUUUGAGCCCAAGUCCCCGUGAAUGUCGGCCGUAACUAUAACGGUCCUAAGGUAGCGAAAUUCCUUGUCGGGUAAGUUCCGACCUGCACGAAUCGUGUAACGAGUUGACCGCUGUCUCAACGAGGAGCUCAGCGAAGUUGUAGUGGCGGUGAAGAUGCCGCCUACCCGCAGCAGGACGGAAAGACCCUAUGCACCUUUACUGUACGCUGUUACUGUUUUUUCGGUUUUAAUGCUUAGCGUAAGUGGUAGCCUUUGAUUCGAGCCUUUCGGGGUUUGAUGAGGCGUCAAUGAAACACCACCCUUUGAAACUGGAAAAUCUAACCUCUCGCCAUGAUCUGGCAGAGGGACACUGGCAGCCGGUCAGUUUUACUGGGGCGGUAUCCUCCCAAAGAGUAACGGAGGAGUACGAAGGUUGGCUCAGCCUGGUUGGUAAUCAGGUGACGAGUAUAUGGAUAUAAGCCAGCCUAACUGUGAGACCUACAAGUCGAGCAGAUGCGAAAGCAGGUCCAAGUGAUCCGGUGGUUGAAUGUGGAAUUGCCAUCGCUCAACGGACAAAAGGUACGCUAGGGAUAACAGGCUGAUCGAGUCCAAGAGCUCAUAUCGACGACUCGGUUUGGCACCUCGAUGUCGGCUCAUCACAUCCUGGGGCUGGAGAAGGUCCCAAGGGUCCGGCUGUUCGCCGGUUAAAGUGGUACGCGAGCUGGGUUCAGAACGUCGCGAGACAGUUCGGUCCUUAUCCGCUGUGGGCGCAGGAAGAGUGAGGGGUUCACACCUUAGUACGAGAGGACCGGGUGUGACGAACCACUGGUGUUCCAGUUGUCCUGUCAAGGGCAGUGCUGGGUAGCUAUGUUCGGAAAGGAUAAGCGCUGAAAGCAUCUAAGCGCCAAGCCUCUCCCAAGAUGACUCUUCCCCGAAGGAUCGUGGUAGACCACCACGUUGAUAGGAUUCCGGUGUAAGCAACGACCGCAAGGACAGUUGUUCAGCUGAGAAUUACUAAUAUUCCGUUCGGCUUGGUCU
rnacentral:rRNA from 1 species